GAUGAACGCUGGCGGUAUGCUUAACACAUGCAAGUCGAACGGUCUCUUCGGAGAUAGUGGCGGACGGGUGAGUAACGCGUGAGAAUCUGGCUUUAGGUCUGGGACAACUACUGGAAACGGUGGCUAAUACCGGAUGUGCCGAAAGGUGAAAGGUUAACUGCCUGGAGAUGAGCUCGCGUCUGAUUAGCUAGUUGGUAGGGUAAGAGCUUACCAAGGCGACGAUCAGUAGCUGGUCUGAGAGGACGAUCAGCCACACUGGGACUGAGACAC
rnacentral:rRNA from 1 species